CUAUGUGUGGAAUAUCUAUUUAUGCUUUUUUUUUGCGAGCUACUCAUACUUUUAUUUAUCUUCUAUAUCGAAUAAUAUAUAGUGCAGGAAACCACUUUUGUGCCACAAAAGAAAACCGAACCAAGACAAAGAUUACUAUCAACCAUAUUUUCUGGGACAGGAGUUGAAGAGGUGUGAUCUACAAAUUUGUACACAAGUAUGAGUUUGGUAAAUUAUGUUUCGUAUGGUUAUGAUAUUCUAAUUGUUAUGCUAUGAUGAGCAGGUUAUGGAUGAACUUAUUUUUUAAAAUCAAAAGGAGAUUGAAGGAGACUUGGUAACUCUUGAGGGAGAGUUGCAAUUGUUCUGGGCUUCACAGUCAAAAGAUGAAAGCUGGUCAUCAAUUGUUGCCAAUGGUCUCAAGGGCUUGCAGAUGAUAAAGGAAUAUGGGAAGCUGUAGAAUGUGGUGGUUCCUGUUCUGGGUUUAACUGUUAGAGCAAGUGGCACUCUGAUGUGAGUUUAUACACUUUUAAGAAUUAAUUUUUACAGUUAAUAACUUUUUUAAACAAAUAAAUUUGGUUGGAAAUAUAAGUAACAACACUUGGAACUUGAAAACUCGGGUACAAAUCAUUAAGCCUUUUGCCACAUACGCUAGAAACUGUAAGUAAAAUAUGAAAAAGAAAUUGAUAAUUUUUGUUGGCCUAUGUGAGUUGUUUACACAUUUACAAAUAACUUGAAUAUUUCUUUUUUUUUUUACUUUGUAAAUAACAUUUGAAAACACUGAUCUUCAAUUGAAAAGGUUUAUCUUCUAUUUUUAUAGAGUUAUUCAUUUUCGGUGGUCCUUUUGUAGAUAUGUAAAGGGCCUUUAUAUAAGUAAUUUUGGUUUUAAAAUGCUUUAAUUGGCUUGGAUCACAAAAAAGCGCGUUGAUUUUCAAUUUUUGUAUUUUUUUCUGUCUCACUGAUCUUUUCAUUGUUUUUAUAAUUUUUACUCCAAUGUCAAGGAUCUAGCAGAAGGUCUCUUUGUGUGCUAAGGGCCACUGCAAUAUGAUAUAUGUUGAUAAGACUACUAGCUUUGUGAUUUUUUUUUUCUUUUUGAGAGGAAGGGUAGCAUGCUACCCGCUUCGUUUAUUUUUUUUUAAAAAAUAAACUUAGCUAGAAAUGUAAAUCAACUAGGAUUUGAACUGGAAACCUUGGGUACCAACCACUGAGUUCUUUGCCACUUGCGCUCACAAAGGCUUUAUCAUUAAAUUUGAAUUUGGUUUUGAACUAAUAAUAUUCUACUUUUUGAUGUU